AUUGAACGCUGGCGGCAGGCCUAACACAUGCAAGUCGAGCGAGGGGCGGGCAGGUGCGUAAUGCCUGGGAGUUGCGCAGUCGAGGGGGCUAACAGGUGGGAACAACUGCUAAUACCGCAUACGAUUGGAUUGCCCAGGUGGGGUUAGCUAGUUGGUGAGGUAAUGGCCCACCAAGGAGACGAUCGCUAGCGGGUCUGAGAGGAUGAUCAGCCACACUGGAACGGAGACACGGUCCAGACGCCUACGGGAGGCAGCAGUGGGGAAUAUUGCACAAUGGGGGAAAGCCUGAUGCAGCCAUGCCGCGUGUGUGAAGAAGGCCUUCGGGUUGUAAAGCACUUUCAGCGAGGAGGCGUUACUCGCAGAAGAAGCACCGGCUAACUCCGUGCCAGCAGCCGCGGUAAUAC
rnacentral:rRNA from 1 species